rnacentral:tRNA from 1 species
GCACGCGUAGCUCAGUAGGAUAGAGCGUCCCCCUCCUAAGGGGAAGGCCGGGGGUUCGAUUCCUCUCGCGUGCACCA